AUUACAUACUUAGCUAAAUUAUUUCAUCUUUACAACAAUUUGAUAUUACUUUCUUAACUAUGUUCAUUCUAAGUACCCUGUCAACUUUCCCUGUGGCAGGAAGUCGGGGCACCACGAGAAAAUCCGCGACUUUCGGCAAAGUGCUGACGGACACUUUUCACAUGAGUUCGUAGCGAGAAACAAAGCCACGAACUCAGUGGUAAAACGCGUUUGUUUUGACGACCACGCCACCGAAAUCUGAGUAGAUGGCUGUGUUGAUAAAGCAGGCGGCUGUGGGAAGAGGUUUAGGGAGUCUGAAAGUCAUUCAAAUUAAGGGACCGUUCAUUAUUUAUUCCCGGGGUUGGUACCGAAGAGAUAUGGGUUGGGUAAUCAAGCUUUUGACUAGCUCAUGGGUUGGGUAAAAAAAUUAUGGCUGUCUGUCAGCUAUAAAAUAAAACCAAAAAUUACCAUGCAUUGGAAAAUAUGAAGAAAAAUGUGUACAAUACAUUCUGUACCAAAAUAGACUAUCAGUGAUUGAGGAAGGACUCUAUCAUUGACCGGCAGGAACGUGAUUGCUUUGGCACACUCAGUGAGUUUGAGUGUGCUUUUAGAAUUUAGGCAACUUGAUUUCUGUCACCAUAAUCUUAUGUGUUUAAUUAUUAUGAAGUACAGUAACACACGGGUUGGGUAAACGUUAUUUUGACAAUUGUUGAGGUUGGGUAAAUAAAAAAUUUACACUAUUUUUUGCUUCUCUUCGGUACCAACCCCAGGUAUAAAUAAUGAACGGUCCCGGCCUAACUAGACAUACGCGGAUAUUGAUUAGAUAGCAACGCAACUGAGUUCUGUAACCAAAUUAUAAUGUAGCUAUUUAUGUACUAUCUUCACUCUUUAAACAAGAUAACUUCAAGAUGGCAAAUAACUAAACCAGUUUUACAAAAAUGUACGUCGUUUUCGAAAAUAACCUGGCUAUUAAAGGUAGACCAGGUUGAGGAAAAACAACUUUGGAUAUUAUUGAUAUUUGAAGUUCUAAACAAAGUAACCGUCGGUGAACCUCGUGGCACCAGCCGUAGCUCUGACGGCCAUGCACCGACUUAUUUUGAAAGCCCUGAUUUUAAUUGGGUAAAGUAAAGAAGAAAUCACCUUGAAGAAAUCACAACUUGCUUCAAGUCAAUCCGUGCAAAACCUCUCUUUUUAGAAACUCUUUUUUUAACCGAAUUGUCUUUCUAUGGAACAAUCUCUCUCCGAUCAUUCGUAACAGUUCGUCUGUUUCAUCCUUUCAGCUCCAGCUCCAUAUUCAGUACUCUUCUCAAUUAGACUCUUCUUUCGAUGCUAACAGAAUGCGCACUUGGAAAACCUACUGCUCUAAAUGCCGUUCUUUCAACUUAUGCCGUUGCUCAUAAUCUAAACUAUUAAUUCUUAUAUAGCUACAGUGUAUGUAAAUAGUGUUCUAGUCCUUGUCUUUAAUGUAUGUCUACUUAUUGUUUUGUAUUAGUUUGGUCUUCACAUGGGACUCAUGUCCUGUUGACCAUACCUCCAAUCAUUGUUAUAAUUUUGAAUCAUGUAAAGUUAAUAAAUAACCUUGGAAUUAAGAAAUCACCUUGGAGUUUGUUUGUUCUCGGCAACCAGUUUUGAGUAUACACUGAAACGAUUUCUGAUUUUUUAUAUAUUUUUGUACAAAACAGGGAAAAUAGUUGAACGAUUAGUUCUUUUAAUUAUACAAUUGCAACGACUCUCCCAAAUAUAUACAGUAUUGUAUGCUAUUUUGCAUUUUGUGAGCUUUGGUUUAUGUAAAAUUUAACGUGAAAAGCUUCGUAAAAUGUUUUGAAAUGUUUAUUCAACUAAUAUAUCUAUAGACAUAUAGCCACGUAGGUAAAAGCAGACGGCCAAGUUUGAUCAAUAUUUCAAAUUGAGAACUCUCUUUAUUGACGUCACAAGGAGGCCCGGUAAGCGCUAUAAUGUCCUGUCCAACUGUUGGUGCUAAGGGACGGACCAUUUGAUUUUUCAUGGGGGGGGCGCAUUUUUGAGAGUGCUCGAUUUUUUUUUGGACCUCACCGACUCCGCACGAUUUUUUUUUAUCGAAUCUUGCCGCGUGCACGAUAUUUUUUUAAAUUUUACCAUAGCGUUAAUACAAUAAUAACCACGUAUGGUUAUAUUCCGGCUGAAGAAUGUAUUUGAAUAUACAGCAUAUAACCACAAAAUAGGAAAGUAUAGCAGAAGUGUAACCCACGAAAAUUUUAACUCGCUCACGCCAUCCUGGCUAGUACAGCCGGACGUUUUUAUCAUGUCUUGAUAGGUACAAAGUGCCGGUUGUACUAGCCAGGAUGGCGUGAUUGAUGACGAAUCGCUUGUAAAAGCGCGGACAAAUACUUGCUUGAGUGAGACUUGUGGUAUACCUUCCUAUUCUAUGAUAUAACUAUCACAGCCCAUUUUAUACUUGGCCCAUUUUAUACGGGGCUAUGGUCUACGAAAUGUAGACCAUAGCCCAAUCAAAAUUGGAUCAAGUGUAUUAAAGUGUGUAACCCAUUUUGCAUUGGCGUAAUGGCAUCUAUAUACAAAUUAUCACGGUUCCCAAUCGUAUCAGUGUUCCCAAUACGUAUUAUAAACUGCGAUUUUUAUCCAGAAUCAGAGAGCGCUAUUAAUGAGCCGGGUGGGAAAGGGUAUUUUUGUGACCCGUGAAUGCAGUGGCGUAGCCACAGGUGUAAGCCUUUUUAGGGGGGUCCGAGGGCAUUCUCCCCCGGGAAAAUUUUGAAAUCUGGAGUCCCUCAAUGGCGAUUUCCCGUGUUUCUGGGGAGAGAUUUUGCAUAAUUCUGAAGAUUAUUUACUGCAGGAAAGACCUGAUUUUUAAUGAUUUCUCAAUAAUGUGGAUCCUUAAUUUGACUCAACGAAGCUUACUUGGUCGCGUGUGAAUAGUUAAAUCGAAGUUUUAAAACGCAUUUUAACCAAUAACCACCAUAGGCAUUAUUUUCUGUAGUUAGAUUUAGGAAAGAUUAGAACUUUUAUAGACAAUUUGGUGAACAGAUGAGAUUGGUAGUCACAUGGGUAGUCAUCGUCCCCCCCCCCCAAUUUCUACCCGGAUUUCAUCUUUUUACAAGGGCAGUCAUUCAGCCUAUUGGGGGUGGGGGCUGAGCCCCCCCCUGUCUACGCCACUGCGUGAAUGGUCAAUACUUGAUCGUGUGAAAUGCUUGAUUUUACUGUCAUGAUCUGUGAUUUGUUCUACAGCCGUGAGGCGUGAUUGUCAUUUGUCGAUAAAAAUGCUUCGUGAAAUGGGAAUUAAAGAUGUCUGUUUCGUGAACUGUGAUUUUGAUUUGUUUAUUCCGAUCUAUUUUAUAAUAGUGAUAAUGGACAUAAUACGCGAUAAUAAUUUAUAUGAUCGAUCUCACUCGAUUGCACAAGAGUAGAAACUUCGGAGGCCUUUCGGAGAUCGUCGGACGUACUCAUCAC
rnacentral:lncRNA from 1 species